ACUCAAAUGAAUUGACGGGGGCCCGCACAAGCGGCGGAGCAUGUUGCUUAAUUCGACGCAACGCGAAGAACCUUACCAAGGUUUGACAUGGCCGGAAAAGCCUCAGAGAUGGGGUGUCCGCAAGGGCCGGUCACAGGUGGUGCAUGGCUGUCGUCAGCUCGUGUCGUGAGAUGUUGGGUUAAGUCCCGCAACGAGCGCAACCCUCGUCCUAUGUUGCCAGCGGGUAAUGCCGGGGACUCAUAGGAGACUGCCGGGGUCAACUCGGAGGAAGGUGGGGAUGACGUCAAGUCAUCAUGCCCCUUAUGUCUUGGGCUGCAAACAUGCUACAAUGGCCGGUACAAAGGGCUGCGAAACCGCAAGGUAGAGCGAAUCCCAAAAAGCCGGUCUCAGUUCGGAUUGGGGUCUGCAACUCGACCCCAUGAAGUCGGAGUCGCUAGUAAUCGCAGAUCAGCAACGCUGCGGUGAAUACGUUCCCGGGCCUUGUACACACCGCCCGU
rnacentral:rRNA from 1 species